rnacentral:rRNA from 1 species
UCUGGGCUUCGGCCCUCUCUCUUCUACACACUUGUGAACUUACACCGUUGCUUUGGCAGGUCUCCGGAUGGGCGUCAGCCUUGAAGGUCAGGUCGAGAGACGCCUGCCAAAGACACUUAUCCACCCUUUUUUAUUGUCUGAAUCUUGUUUAUAACAAAUAAAAUAAAACUUUCAACAAUGGAUCUCUUGGCUCUGGCAUCGAUGAAGAACGCAGCGAAAUGCGAUAAGUAAUGUGAAUUGCAGAAUUCAGUGAAUCAUCGAAUCUUUGAACGCACAUUGCGCCCUCUGGUAUUCCGGAGGGCAUGCCUGUUUGAGUGUCAUUAAUCUCUCACAAGACCCUCUGGUUUUGUCGAUGUUGGGAGCUGCGACCCCCUUGUGGGGACGCUCUCCUCAAAUGCAUUGGUGCGGCCCGCCGCCCGGUUACACAACGUUCUAGGUUCGUCCAACUCGUUUCAAGCCGGUGCAACUUUGGUGCAGCACCUAAAGCCCGCCCUGAGCCUGAGCUCUUGGCAUACCUUCAUUUAUUGACCUCAGAUCAGUAGGAAUACGCGCUGAACUUAAGCAUAUCAAUAAGCGCAGGAAAAGAAACUAACUAGGAUGCCUUCAGUAACGGCGAGCGAACAAGCAUAACUCAAAUUUGUAAUCUGGCGCCUUUGGCGUCCGAGUUGUAUUUUCUAGAAGCGAGUUCGGCGACAGCUCCUACCCAAGUCCGUUGGAACGCGGCGUCAUGGAGGGUGAGAAUCCCGUGAAUGGUAGGAUGUCUGCUGCUAUGUGAACCGCCUUCGAAGAGUCGAGUUGUUUGGGAAUGCAGCUCUAAAUGGGAGGUAAAUUUCUUCUAAAGCUAAAUAUUGGCCAGAGACCGAUAGCGAACAAGUAGAGUGAUCGAAAGAUGAAAAGAACUUUGAAAAGAGAGUUAAACAGUACGUGAAAUUGUUGAAAGGGAAGCGCUUGAGAUCAGACUUCCUGUCUGGACUGUCCUUGCUUUUGCUUGGGUCACCAGUCCAGGCGUGGAGGCCAGCAUCAGUUUUGACGGCCGGAUAAAGGCCUUGGGAAGGUAGCUCCCCUCGGGGAGUGUUAUAGCCCAGGGUGUAAUACGGCCAGUUGGGACUGAGGACCGCGGCUCUGCUAGGAUGCUGGGUAAUGUCUUAAG